AUGAUCCAGUUCAACUAUACUAAGCAAAAAUUACUAACAAUUAAACUAACUGUCAUGCCCCUGGACUCAAUAUGUUGUGUUUUCCCUCCACAUGUGUUCCGUGUCCCUCUUAAUUAUUCCAUGCACGUGUUUCCCCAAUUAUCCUGUCUUUAUAAGCCCUAGUCCUUUCAGUUUGUGUUUGUCGGUUCUUGAACGUCUUCCAUGUGCUCUGUUCCCCAUUUGGAUUAAUAAAGACUCUCUCGUUUUGUGAAUUCCUCAUCUCCUCAUUCCUGGUUUCCUUGACUCCUUGCAUAGUGAUACACUAACAAUUGUGCUUUGGUUUAUUUUUGGUGUGUGCUUUUUUGUUUUUUUUGGCUGAAGAGUGUUGAACCUUCUUCUCCUGUGUUCUACUGUAGAAACGUGAAUUUACUUUUUCUUCAGCCUGAGGUUUAUUCAUUACUUUUUGGUGUGAAAGGGCUUCUAUAUUUGCUAUAAAUAGAACUUUUUAUAUUAAAAACAAUCAAGCCCUGCUCAUAUUUAAAAAGUAACGUAAUGCAUUACUUUCCAUAAAAAGUAACUAAGUAACGUAAUUGGUUAAAUUUUUUUUUUUUUUUAGGGAGUAACACAAUACUGUAAUGCAUUACUUUUACAAGUAACUUUCCCCGACACUGAUAGUUAUUGGGAUAAAAUCUGACACUAUCCAGACACCUGUCAUUCAAUUGUCAACAUACUAUGAUUUAAAGUUUUGAUUUAGGAUAGAUAAAAUGUAAAUUGCACAGUAAGACUGAAUGAAAGAGAUCAAAUGUGUUGGCUGUUAUGGCGUUAUGCAAUGAUAAUCUGUAUGGUUAUGUUGUGUAGAGAUGCUUGCAUAGCACAGACUGGAAGAGCUGCUCAAUAUUUAAGCCAGUGCAAUUCUAGAAAUGAUAAAUAAUAUUGUACGUCACUAGGCAGUGAGACUCAGAAAUAAAUGUCAACUGCACUUUUAACUGCAAACUGCACAUAAUUUUUGCCACACCUUCAGUGGCAGGUGAAUCAAGAACAUUUACCACACAUAAAUAUUUCAUACCAGCUUUCAUUCUUACACUGUGUUUUAAACCAUGCAUUUCUAAUAAAGACAGCAGUCAGUUAGACAGUGGUUAAGGCGCACUCAUAUUUACUGUUGUUCAGUGACAUUUCACGGGUGAAAACCAGUCAUGCCAAUAGGGAUAUGCACGAUUGAGAGUUUUAUGUGAAGUUAAAAAAAAAAUCCACAUGCAGAUUUUAUGAAUUUGUUUGGUUUGAAAGUUACUUCUGUGUGAGAUAUGCUUCAAACCUCUCUAUGCUACUGACAACAACGCUUUUUUCAAAAUCAAAAUUUCAUUGAAAUUUCACUAAUGUUACCACAUCUUUUAUAUUUACAAAGGUGACACUUAUACUUGGCACUUAAUGCACUUGAUAUAGCUCUUUUUUGCACCAAUAAUAGCACAUUUGCAUCCAGUCAACACUGAUGCAAGAAAAACUAAUUUUGCAUCCCACCUAACAGGUUCUAAAAGCAUUUUGCUAACCCAUUGU
ensembl:lncRNA